GUUAUCUUUUCUCAUCAAGUCUAAGUCCUUACAAGCCCAGGAUUGAUGUCAAGUUGAAGCUUUCUGCUCUUCUUAUGAAAUCCUGACCUCCAUGCCUCAGAUGGGUACAGAUCAAGCAGUGUAUGAAUACAGUGAAGAAAAUCGUGUCAAGAAAUCUGCUAGAUCUAGAUAGGAGAUAUUCGACAUUCAAGACAAAGCCACAAUAAAGCCUUCGGCUUGU